GUAAAGCACUUUCAGUAGGGAGGAAGGUAGUGUAGUUAACACCUGCACUAUUUGACGUUACCUACAGAAGAAAGCACCGGCUAACUCCGUGCCAGCAGCCGCGGUAAUACGGAGGGUGCGAGCGUUAAUCGGAAUUACUGGGCGUAAAGCGCAUGCAGGCGGCCUGUUAAGUCAGAUGUGAAAGCCCGGGGCUUAACCUCGGAAUUGCAUUUGAAACUGGCAGGCUAGAGUCUUGUAGAGGGGGGUAGGAAUUUCAGGUGUAGCGGUGAAAUGCGUAGAGAUCUGAAGGAAUACCAGUGGCGAAGGCGGCCCCCUGGACAAAGACUGACGCUCAGAUGCGAAAGCGUGGGGAGCAAACAGGAUUAGAUACCCUGGUAG
rnacentral:rRNA from 1 species